GAUAAACGCUGGCGGCGCACAUAAGACAUGCAAGUCGAACGAACUUAGGCCCAUUCAUUACGAUUGGGUACGGUUAGUGGCGGACUGGUGAGUAACACGUAAGCAACCUGCCUGUAAGAGGGGAAUAACAGUGAGAAAUCAUUGCUAAUACCGCAUAUGCUCACACUGACACAUGUUAGAGUGAGGAAAGGAGCAAUCCACUUACAGAUGGGCUUGCGUCUGAUUAGCUAGUUGGUGGGGUAAAGGCCUACCAAGGCGACGAUCAGUAGCCGGACUGAGAGGUUGAACGGCCACAUUGGGACUGAGAUACGGCCCAG
rnacentral:rRNA from 1 species